CCACUGCCCCGCUCGCGCUCGCAAACCCGGGGCCUCGGGCAGCGUGGAGACCAGAGGGCCCUCGGUAUUCCGAGCUGGCUCCCUCGCCAAAAUCUUCUGUCGUGUUUUAUUUCUGUGAUUACUGUUUCCCCCACCAGCCCGAGUCGUCAUUUCAACGCUGGAAGGGUCCCCGCGGCGCCCAUGGUUGGAGCAGAAAGCUUAGAAAAUAUGCCAGAGAAAAAAUAAGAGACAAACUAACCAUUGAGAGCUACAGUUCAUCUAAAUAUCUCAGCUGCAAGAAAUCAGUUUUAAGAAGCCAGUGCCGAGACAUCAGAACAUCUGAACCAAGAUUCCUGUGGAGCUGUACUUAUUUUACUUCCAUGUGAACUGCUGUCAUCGCUGCUGUGUCCAAGCCCAGAGGAUGAACUGGAAAAGAAGAGAGGGGGAAAAUAAUAAAAAGAGGAAAUUGGUUUUCACAACACACUCAAAGCCUGAGUAACAGAGGAGAACUUUAAUUAUCUCCAGUCACAAAGAGAGACAGGAAAUUUGGACUUUUAAUUAGCCAUUUGGAGUGCAGUUGGAUAUUUUUUUAGCUAGAUAAUUUAAACGCGAAUAAUUCAAGUCUGACUAAAUGAAAGUCACAUAAUCAGAAUGCAGAUAAUUGAAUUUCUACUGCAUUCAUUAAUUCAGUGUGGAGGUGUGUGUGAAGACUACUAUGAUGAGCUGUCACAGCUCAAUAAAAUCUCAGUCAAUUAAUUUUUUCAUUAUCUUAGUAUUACAUCAACAAAAACGCGAAGUAUGUGCAUGAUCUAUACACAUGCGUAUGUGCACUCUGUUAUGUAAAUAUGUAUACAUUAAACCAAAAUACAAGGAAGUACCUUUCUGAAUCAUAAUCUA